rnacentral:misc_RNA from 1 species
UGAGCAAAUUCGACCCUGCAGAUCAGCA